GGCCCUGUGGCGGAAUUGGUAGACGCACACGACUUAAAAUCGUGAGCCCGCAAGGGCGUGCCGGUUCGAUUCCGGCCAGGGCCACCA
rnacentral:tRNA from 1 species